rnacentral:rRNA from 1 species
AUAAGGGCGCACGGUGGAUGCCUUGGCAUUAAGAGCCGAAGAAGGACGUGACUAACGACGAUAUUCUAGGGGGAGCAGUAAGUACGCAUUGAUCCCUAGGUCUCCGAAUGGGGAAACCCACUAUGUUAUGCAUAGUAUCCGUAAGUGAAUACAUAGCUUACGCGAAGGUAACGCAGAGAACUGAAACAUCUAAGUACCUGCAGGAAGAGAAAGUAAAAACGAUUUCCUAAGUAGCGGCGAGCGAACGGGAAACAGGCCAAACCAAGAAGCUUGCUUCUUGGGGUUGUAGGACUGCAACGUGGACUUAAAGUCUAUAGAAGAAUUACCUGGGAAGGUAAGCCAAAGAGAGUAAUAGCCUCGUAUUUGAAAUAGACUUUAUACCUAGCAGUAUCCUGAGUAGGGCUGGACACGCGAAAUCCAGUUUGAAUCCGGGAGGACCAUCUCCCAAGCCUAAAUACUCCUUAAUGACCGAGAGUGAACCAGUACCGUGAGGGAAAGGUGAAAAGAACCCCGGGAGGGGAGUGAAAUAGCACCUGAAACCGUGUGCCUACAAGAAGUUCGAGCCCGUCAAUGGGUGAGAGCGUGCCUUUUGUAGAAUGAACCGGCGAGUUACGUUAUGAUGCGAGGUUAAGCUGAAGAGGCGGAGCCGUAGCGAAAGCGAGUCUGAAUAGGGCGCUUUAGUAUCAUGAUGUAGACCCGAAACCUAGUGACCUAUCCAUGAGCAGGUUGAAGGUGCGGUAAGACGCACUGGAGGACCGAACCAGGACACGUUGAAAAGUGUUUGGAUGACUUGUGGAUAGCGGAGAAAUUCCAAACGAACUGGGAGAUAGCUGGUUCUCUCCGAAAUAGCUUUAGGGCUAGCGUCGCAAUUUAAGUGUAUUGGAGGUAGAGCACUGUUUGGAUGAGGGGCCCAUCUCGGGUUACCAAUUUCAGAUAAACUCCGAAUGCUAAUACACAUGUGCGGCAGUCAGACUGCGAGUGCUAAGAUCCGUAGUCGAAAGGGAAACAGCCCAGACCACCAGCUAAGGUCCCAAAAUAUAUGUUAAGUGGAAAAGGAUGUGGGGUUGCACAGACAACUAGGAUGUUAGCUCAGAAGCAGCUAUCAUUCAAAGAGUGCGUAAUAGCUCACUAGUCGAGUGACCCUGCGCCGAAAAUGUACCGGGGCUAAACAUAUUACCGAAGCUGUGGAUUUAAUAUUAAUUAAAUGGUAGGAGAGCGUUGUAAUCAGCGAUGAAGGUAUACCGUGAGGGGUGCUGGAGCGAUUACAAGUGAGAAUGCCGGUAUGAGUAGCGCAAGAUAAGUGAGAAUCUUAUCCACCGUAAGACUAAGGUUUCCAGGGGAAGGCUCGUCCGCCCUGGGUUAGUCGGGACCUAAGGCGAGGCCGAAAGGCGUAGUCGAUGGACAACAGGUUGAUAUUCCUGUACUAGUAUUGUUAGUGAUGGAGGGACGCAGUAGGCUAAAGGGAGCCAGUUAAUGGAUUCUGGUCUAAGCAGUGAGGUGUGGAAUGUGUCAAAUGCAUUUUCCUUUAACAUUGAGCUGUGAUGGGGAAGCAACUACGGUUGCGAAGCCCUUGAUGUCACACUGCCAAGAAAAUCUUCUAGCGUUUAAUUCAAUACUACCCGUACCGCAAACCGACACAGGUAGUCGAGGCGAGUAGCCUCAGGUGAUCGAGAGAACUCUCGUUAAGGAACUCGGCAAAAUGACCCCGUAACUUCGGGAGAAGGGGUGCUGUAGAAAUACAGCCGCAGUGAAAAGAUCCAAGCAACUGUUUAUCAAAAACACAGCUCUCUGCUAAACCGCAAGGUGAUGUAUAGGGGGUGACGCCUGCCCGGUGCUGGAAGGUUAAGAGGAGGGGUUAGACAUUAGUCGAAGCUCUGAAUUGAAGCCCCAGUAAACGGCGGCCGUAACUAUAACGGUCCUAAGGUAGCGAAAUUCCUUGUCGGGUAAGUUCCGACCCGCACGAAAGGCGUAAUGAUUUGGAUACUGUCUCAACGAGAGACUCGGUGAAAUUUUAGUACCUGUGAAGAUGCAGGUUACCCGCGACAGGACGGAAAGACCCCAUGGAGCUUUACUGCAGAUUGAUAUUGAGUACCUGUGAAGCAUGUACAGGAUAGGUAGGAGACUUUGACCUUGGGACGCUAGUUUCAAGUGAGUCGCUGUUGGGAUACUACCCUUGCUUCAUGGUUGCUCUAACCCACACGCAUAAUCGGCGUGGGAGACAGUGUCUGUCGGGCAGUUUGACUGGGGCGGUCGCCUCCUAAAGAGUAACGGAGGCGCCCAAAGGUUCCCUCAACAUGGUUGGAAAUCAUGUGUAGAGUGUAAAGGUAUAAGGGAGCUUGACUGCGAGAGCUACAACUCGAGCAGGUAGGAAACUAGGGCUUAGUGAUCCGGUGGUACCGCAUGGAAGGGCCAUCGCUCAACGGAUAAAAGCUACCCUGGGGAUAACAGGCUUAUCUCCCCCAAGAGUUCACAUCGACGGGGAGGUUUGGCACCUCGAUGUCGGCUCGUCGCAUCCUGGGGCUGUAGUCGGUCCCAAGGGUUGGGCUGUUCGCCCAUUAAAGCGGCACGCGAGCUGGGUUCAGAACGUCGUGAGACAGUUCGGUCCCUAUCCGUCGCGGGCGUAGGAAAUUUGAGAGGAUCUGCCCUUAGUACGAGAGGACCGGGGUGGACUUACCGCUGGUGUACCAGUUGUUCCGCCAGGAGCACCGCUGGGUAGCUAUGUAGGGAAGGGAUAAGCGCUGAAAGCAUCUAAGUGCGAAGCCCACCUCAAGAUGAGAUUUCCCAUUCUUUAUGAAUUAAGAGCCCUGAGAGAUGAUCAGGUUGAUAGGCUGGAAGUGGAAGUCCUGCGAGGGAUGGAGCGGACCAGUACUAAUAGCUCGAGGACUUUACC